rnacentral:tRNA from 3 species
AUGACUAUGGCGAAAUAGGUAAACGCGGCUAACUUAGUAUUAGUUUAUUUAUAAAAUAAGGGUUCAAAUCCCUUUAGUCAUA